UGACUCAGGCAGUGUGGCAUCAACCUCCGUGUGAAGAGAACGUGCGUGUGCCGGCGCGGACCGAGGCGAGCGAAGGCAUUCUCGAGGUAGCUCCCAGCCGCUGCUUCUUGUGUGGUGCCGCUGACAGACGUGCAGUGCGCAAGGGUGGGGGGCAUGUCAGCCUGUGUGGCGCCAUACUGAGCCGAGCUGCGAGGGCGCGGAGCCUGAAGGAGCCGAGGGAGAGUGCGUGGAGUGGGUGACUGGCUGGGUGGGGCCGUGACAAGCAAGGCGAGGUAUCUAAAGGGAGCACCUUCAAGCUUAUGACCUGACCCACCGCUGCCGACGCCACUGCUGCUGCCGCCUUUCGCCUCCCUCGCGCCCCCACUGCGGAAUACUCUCCAGCCUCAUCUUACGCCUCUUGUGUCGCUCCGCCUUCACCUCCUGCGGGCUGGUCUUCUGCUGACGUUAAGAAGAUGAGGUAGCGUGCGGGCGGCGUCAUGGUGCUGGUGAAGGAAUACCGCAUCCCGCUGCCGCUCACCGUCGAGGAGUACCGGGUGGCCCAGCUGUUCAUGAUAGCCCAUCAUACAGUCACCAUGGUGCAGACAGUGGAGUACCGCAUCCCACUCCCCCUCACUGUGGAUGAGUACAGGAUUGCUCAGCUGUACAUGUUAGCGAAAAAAUCCCGGCAAGAGAGCCAUGGUGAGGGCAGUGGUGUGGAGAUCCUGGUGAACGAGCCUUACACUGACGGGCCCGGGCCAGAGGGCAAGGGACAGUACACUCACAAGGUGUACCAUGUCGGCAGCCACUUACCAGGCUGGUUGAAGUCCCUCAUCCCUAAGUCUGCUUUGUCUGUUGAGGAAGAGGCUUGGAAUGCAUAUCCCUACACCAAGACCCGCUUCACUUGCCCGUUUGUUGAGAAGUUCAGCAUUGAGGUGGAGACCUACUACUACAAUGAUGGUGGGAGUCAGGAGAAUGUGUUCAACCUUUCCAAGUCAGAGAUGAAGCAGAGGGAAGUAGACUUGAUUGAUGUGGUAAAGGACCAACUCUAUGGGGCAGAUUAUGUGGAGGAUGAAGACCCUCGCAAGUAUGUUUCUCAGAAGACCAGUCGAGGCCCACUUGGGGAUAACUGGAUUGCAGAAUACUCAGAUAUGUGCAAGGACAAGAAUACUCCUCUUUCGAAUGGCGAAGCAAUCAUGUGUGCUUACAAGCUGUGCAAGGUGGAGUUCAGGUACUGGGGCAUGCAGACCAAGAUUGAAAAGUUCAUCCAUGAUAUUGCACUCAGGAAAACAAUGUUACGGGCACAUCGGCAAGCAUGGGCAUGGAUGGACGAGUGGUGGGGCCUCACCAUCGAGGACAUACGCAACAUUGAAAAGGAAACACAGAGCCUCCUGGCCAAGAAGUAUGGUCAGGGAGAAACUGAGGAAGACAGUGCUAAAAGCCCAGAAAAUGCUGAGGGUGAAUCUGGCAUACCCCACAGUCCUAGUAGCAUGUCCUCAGAUCGAACGCCUAACUUGGAACAGCUGAGCAAGUGCAAUUCAUUUAGGACUAGUAAUGAUCUUGGUGACCAGUCUCAGGUGAUUUGUGAAGGUGAUCUAGUGGCCAAUAACAGUGUAAAUAGUAACAAUAAUAACAAUAAUAAUAAUGAGAGUGAGGACAACCUCUCAGGACUGGGCUCAAGCCCCAAGCUAAAGAGACGUGAGCUAAAUGUGAGCCUGGACAGUGUUCUGAUUGAUGACUCACGGAAGCGAGGCUCAUGGUCACGAAGCGGAUCAAGAAACACAUUAAACUCACAGAACCAAGCCAGCUGGAGAAUGGAGAGUAUCAGAAGAGACUCGGACACAUCAGGGAGUGAUGAUGAAUUCUUUGAUUGUCAAGGGUCAGCCAUCCCCAUAAUCAAGGAGGAACUUGAGGAGACAGUAGCACUACACAAGUGGAGUUCCUUGGAGCUGCUGCCUCCAGACGGUGACACACAGAGUACUGUCAGUCAGGCAGGCAAUGAAGACAGCAUUUUCUCACCAGCCUUCAUAUCGAGGGUGGCAGCGGAGCGUCACAGUCGAGUGUUGGGGCGCAGCAUGGAGACCUCGGCCCCCUCGUCCCCGUCCCAUUCCCCGUCCCACCAGCCUGGCCCCUGUUCCACCACUGUUUUGCUCCUGGUCAUACAUGCUGGAUCCGUCCUCGACCCCUCACCAGAUGUGACCAACAAGAGAAGUGAUGUCACCACCUUCCGUGGGGCACUUGAGUCUGUGAUGCGCCAGCACUACCCUCAUAUGGUGGGCCAUGUUGCCAUUAGGCUCAUAUCAGCUCCCCCUGUGUGCUCUGACAGCCUCAACAUAUUGUCCAGUCUCAGUCCGUAUGGUCUUGACUCUGCUCCGGUGUGUGGUGAGGUGUCGGGUGGGGACUGUGUACCUGUGGGUGCUGUGCCGUUGCUGGCGACAAGUGUGCCAGAGUAUGAUGAGUGUGUGGUACGAACCCUCAAUGCAACGAAUGCAGUUUACCAUGAGUUCCUGAGGUCUGAAGAGGGCCAAGGCUUCAAUGGCCAGGUUUGCCUCAUUGGUGACAGCAUUGGUGGUGUGUUGGCCUAUGAUGUUUUGUGCAGAGUGCACGACCACCACAAGUUUGGGAGCAAUAGCAACAUUCCUGAGGGCGAGCCGCCUUCCCCUGGUCAGUACUGCAAGCAGAAGUCAUCUCCAGCACAGCCUCAAUCCUCAUCCCCUUCCCCAGCCACUCCUCCUUCUGUCUCUCCUGACCAGCCCUUAAGCUCCCCACCCCAGACUACCCUGUCCCCCACCAUAACUGUAAGCCCAGAGAGUGCCCUGGCUAAACCUUCCAGUGAAGUAUUUGUUCAGGGCUCUGCAGGUACCUCUCCUCUAAACCAAAACACAGCCUCCUCCUCCUCCUCCUCCUGUUGUGUUCAAUCUCCCUCAGAUAAGAUUCCCUCCCCUCAGUCAGCUAACAACCCUCACACCCCUGUUCGUAAGAUAUCUGCACCUCUUCCUCCUUCAACCUUUAAUCCAGUCACUAGGAAGUGCUCAGCCCCAUGUAGCAUCCCCGGGGGUACUGGGUUGUGGGGGUACCACCGGGCUGGGAGCAAUACCCCCACACCCUCACCACCAGGUCCUACUUCUUCCUCUUCUUCUGCCUCUCCCUCUGCUCUGUGUCACUCCCACCACCUCCUGUGCCAGUGCCACACCCCUCUACACCGCCCUCACCAUCACCAGGGUGUUAGUGUUGCCCAUGAUAGCCUCAUAGCUGGGCCACUGUUGGAAAGACGAGGAGAUGAGAUUGGGGAGAAUGUAAGAGUAUAUCGCAAGUCAAUAAGCAGCGACGGGCCGCAUCACUCUGAGGUACCUCACUCACGCUCUGUGUCGGACUCUGACUACCACUACGCACGGCACUUAUCAGCACCCUUCCCUCGCAGGCGCUCAUCCUCAUCCAGUGACCAUGCCCACAGUAAGCUAGACUUUGAGGUGUCAGACUUCUUCAUGUUUGGGUGUCCGUUGGCGCUGGUGCUUGUUUACCGCAAAAUGGUGAACACAUCGGACAAAAAUUCCACAGUGCAACGGCCAGCAUGCCAACAGGUGUACAAUCUCUUUCACCCCACGGACCCACUGGCAGUGCGUGUAGAGCCUUUAAUUUCAGCUCGUUUCUCUCUGCUGCCUCCCAUCAUCAUUCCUCGCUACACCAAAUACCCGCUUGGUGAUGGGCUCCCCACACAUCUCUUGGAGUGCAUCCAGAGCAAUGGGAGUGUCUUCAUGGACCUGUCGGGGACCACAGGCUCUCCUUCUCUGACCGAACACACUCGCCGCAUGUCUGAUGCCUCCAUCCUCUCCACUAUGUCGGGCAUGGCAGACACUGUUCCAUUGGCCACCAUCAAUGCCUUGAGUCAGCGGUGGUGGGGAACAAAGCGGCUGGACUACGCUCUGUACUGUCCUGAGGGUCUGGCCAACUUCCCCACCAACUCCUUGCCGCACCUGUUCCAUGCCUCGUAUUGGGAGUCAUCAGAUGUUAUUGCAUUCAUCCUUAGACAGUUGGUGCGCACAGACCACGCUGCCUUCCAGGGAGACGACAAAGACCUCCCUGUGUUUUCCCCAACACAGCCUCGGGAAAAGUGGAUGAAGAAAAGAACAUCUGUCAAAAUUAAGAAUGUUGCUGCCAACCACAGAGGGAAUGACGUCAUUGUAAGGGAGGGUGCGCCGCAGUCCAUUCAGGCUCGCUUCAUGUAUGGGCCACUGGACAUGGUGGCUUUGUCUGGUGAGAAAGUGGACAUUCAUAUCAUGCGUGAUCCCCCUGGUGGAGAGUGGCAGCAGAUCAGCUCUGAAGUCACAGACAAGAAUGGUCGCAUUGCCUUCACUGUUCCGCCAGACAAGGCUCUCAGCUGCGGCAUGUACCCAGUCAAGAUGGUCGUGCGCGGUGACCACACAAGCGCUACAUUAUACCUGACUGUUGUGCCUCCGAAAACGGAGUGUGUCAUCUUCAGCAUCGAUGGAUCCUUUACUGCCUCCGUGUCUGUCACUGGCAAAGAUCCCAAAGUCAGAGCGGGAGCUGUUGAUGUUGUAAGGCAUUGGCAAGAACUUGGUUACCUGAUCAUAUAUGUGACUGGUCGGCCUGAUAUGCAGCAACAGAAAGUUGUGUCAUGGCUGGCACAGCACAACUUCCCUCAUGGUUUGGUAUCCUUUGCUGAUGGGUUGUCUCGGGACCCUCUCGGCCACAAGGCUGACUACCUUAAGGGACUCAUACAGGAUCAUGCACUGCAGAUAGUGGCAGCUUAUGGCAGCUCCAAGGACAUUGCAGUGUACUCCAAUAUCAACCUCAAGCCAGAACAAAUAUAUAUUGUUGGAAAGACCAGCAAAAAGCAGCAGGCAAAUGCACAGGUGCUGACAGACGGCUAUGCUGCCCACCUUUCCACUCUCUCUGCCCUGGGGAAGUCCCGGCCUGCUAAAGGCAACCCUCAGAUGGUCAUCCCUCGAGGUUUCUUUGGGUUGCCGGGGCAACACAAUGCUCUCCGGAGAAGACGAUAGGGCUGAGCAGACCCCUCUUCCAGUUAGAAGGAAUGGUACCAGACUGCCACACAGCUGUUAGGACUGCAUGCAACUCUUGGAUUAUGACCACACCCCCAACUUUCAGCAACACUCCACUGACGCUACUGACUUCAUUUGUCUUCUCACCCAUCAAUUUUGCCACAGUCUCUCUAACCUUAGCACAAGAGGGUGCAGAUCCACCUAUUGGUGGGUCAGGACUGCUACCAGAACACUAACUGAAAGAAAGUGGCCCUUAAAAGGGCAAAGCUGCACUAAGCACUCAGCUUUCUAUGCUAAGUACCUUUGUGUCAGACACAAAGUGACCAUUUGCUUCUCAGACUAUACAUACUCAAGAGAUUGACUUGGAAAAAAGAACCUUAUGUUCUGCCAAACGGACUACAUCAUUUCCCGUCCGGGUAGCUUCAGCAAGUGAGGGAGUGAUGCGGUCUCGAGGAUCCUCGCACUCACGGCCCAACCACAUGAGUAUGAGGUGUUAGUGGCAUGAUACAGUGUAGUCUUUAGGAGGCUCAUGGAUUGCUAUAUCUGGUAUUAUUAUCAUUUGGAAAUCUCCAUGUUUUAAUUUAUAUAACAAGAGGUACAAGACAAAUGAAAUGUGAAGUCCCCAGAACAGACUUUACUGUGUAUAAUGCUGAGGUUCUGCUGGCAGCAGCUCCUCAAUACCUCAACUGAGGAACACUGGCUGGUACACUUCUGACAGUGUUCAGGAGACACUCAUGUGAAUCACUCUUGAAAGUAAGUCAGAGUCUGCUCUGUGCCCACAUGACCUUAUCACCUGUGUAUAUAAUUUGUGUCUCAUCAUUUCCAGUGGCUCUUGGCAAUGUGUAAAGUUUUAUAGUAGUGAUACAAUUUAUUUAUUGACAAGGAAUGACCUGGAGUCUUAUUUAAUGAAACCAUUUUGAUGUUUGCCCCUCUUUGUGAUACUUAGCCAUCUGGUUCUGUCAAGAACAUCAAAUAGUCAGGCAGUGAGAGCAUUUAUGUGCUGGAAUCCUUGAAUUAGACACAAUACUCAUAAAUAUGUGUACAUAGUUGCAGCAGGAUGGUCACAACCUUGUUUUAUCCUAUAUUUGAUGAAAACUUCCCAUUCUUCUGAUACCUAAUCUCAGGAUGUAUUUGCUUUUUAUCCAUUAAAGUUGAUGUUUAAU